rnacentral:rRNA from 1 species
CACGUAGGGCGCAAGCGUUGUCCGGAAUUAUUGGGCGUAAAGAGCUCGUAGGCGGUCUGUUGCGUCCGCUGUGAAAACUCGGGGCUUAACCCCGAGCCUGCAGUGGAUACGGGCAGACUAGAGGUAGGUAGGGGAGAAUGGAAUUCCCGGUGUAGCGGUGAAAUGCGCAGAUAUCGGGAGGAACACCGGUGGCGAAGGCGGUUCCCUGGGCCGUAACUGACGCUGAGGAGCGAAAGCGUGGGGAGCGAACAGG